rnacentral:rRNA from 1 species
AACGCGAAGAACCUUACGACAGACUGCAGCAGGAUGUCGGGACUUCCGUCCUCUAGAUUCGCCCCCGCCAGGAAGUCCGCACAGAUCAUCUCCAGGCAGUAGCCGCGCGAUUUGUCCGUUCCCAACAUCAGGGCCGCGGUCUCAAGAGCCUGCUCCACCACGGGGAUCUGGCUCUUGUAGAUCUUGAAGUAAAUGAUCUCGUGUGGCUCCGUCUCUCGCCCGGUUAAUUCCUUCUCGACCUCCCGCUUAAACUGCUCCUUCGGCAUCUCCCGGGCCUUGUACACACCGCGAGC